GUUUACAGUCAUGCCACCUUAAUUCAUCUGGUCUCCUCUGAUCUUGGAAGUUAAGCAGGGUCAGGCCUGGUUGUUAUUUGAAUGAGAGAGUGGAAAGGAUUGAGGAGGACACUCUGUGUC
rnacentral:rRNA from 1 species